rnacentral:misc_RNA from 1 species
GUAAGGGGUAAUUAAAGAAGUGGAGAUGUGGAUUGAGUAUUCAAUAAUCAAUUUAUGUGGAACCGAAGGGAAUUUCGAGGAGACUAGCAGCCUGGUGGCAAGAGGAUUUACAGUUUCAAGUGCUAAAUGUUUUAAACCUCUGGAUUGAUGGGAAGUUCAUCAAGAUAGAUUGUGGCAUUUAUCGUUAGUUUAUGGAAAUUCAGAAAUGCAAGAGAGAAUGGAAUUCCUUCACGAUGUAAAGGGUUUGGAUCUCAAGGAUGGUAUUCCAUGGCUGAUGAUAGGGGAUUUCAAUAUAUGUGCUCCCCUUAUGAUAAAAUUAGAGAGUCCAGAAUUAAUUAUCUUUUGACUGAAGCAUAUCAUAAUUUCUUAUUUGAAACUGAGAUGGGGGAAUUGGAUUUCAAGGAGAACUGUUUCACUUGGUGUAACAAGUAGCAUGGAAGGGGCAGAAUUCUAAAGCAUAUCAACAAGGCCAUUGCAAAUGUUGAAUGGAGACUAUUAUUUUCGAGUGCGCAAUUGUUUCAUGACAAGAUGAUGGCCUCGGAUCACCAACCUCUAGAAUUAGAUUUUAAUACAUUAUGCCCAAGUAUUCAAAGCCUUUCAGGUUUGAUCUUUAAUGGUCCUCUAACCCACUUGUGAUGCCAUAGUUAAUGA